CCUACGGGUGGCAGCAGUCGAGAAUCAUUCACAAUGGGGGAAACCCUGAUGGUGCGACGCCGCGUGGGGGAAUGCAGGUCUUCGGAUUGUAAACCCCUGUCAUGUGGGAGCAAAUUAAAAAGAUAGUACCACAAGAGGAAGAGACGGCUAACUCUGUGCCAGCAGCCGCGUUAAUACGGCGGUCUCAAGCUUUGUUCGGAAUCACUGGGCGUAAAGCGUGCGUAGGCUGUUUCGUAAGUCGUGUGUGAAAGGCGGGGGCUCAACCCGCGGACGGCACAUGAUACUGGGAGACUAGAGUAAUGGAGGGGGAACCGGAAUUCGCGGUGUAGCAGUGAAAUGCGUAGAUAUCGAGAGGAACACUCGUGGCGAAGGCGGGUUCCUGGACAUUAACUGACGCUGAGGCACGAAGGCCAGGGGAGCGAAAGGGAUUAGAUACCCCAGUAGUC
rnacentral:rRNA from 1 species